rnacentral:rRNA from 1 species
GAUGAACGCUAGCGGCAGGCCUAACACAUGCAAGUCGAGGGGUAGCAGGAUUAAGCUUGCUUAAUUGCUGACGACCGGCGCACGGGUGCGUAACGCGUAUGCAACCUACCUUAUACUGGGGUAUAGCCCGGAGAAAUUCGGAUUAAUCCCCCAUAGUACUAAUGAAUCGCAUGGUUUAUUAGUUAAAGCAUUGCGGUAUAAGAUGGGCAUGCGUCCUAUUAGCUAGAUGGUGAGGUAACGGCUCACCAUGGCUACGAUAGGUAGGGGGCCUGAGAGGGUGGUCCACCAGACUGGUACUGAGACACGGACCAGACGCCUACGGGAGGCAGCAGUGAGGAAUCUUGGUCAAUGGGCGCAAGCCUGAACCAGCCAUGCCGCGUGCAGGAAGAAUGCCCUAUGGGUUGUAAACUGCUUUUAUUUGGGAAUAAACCUCUUUACGUGUAGAGAGCUGAAGGUACCAAAUGAAUAAGCACCGGCUAACUCCGUGCCAGCCGCCGCGGUAA